rnacentral:lncRNA from 1 species
ACAAACCUGACUACUCCUACCUGCGCCAGCUCUUCCGCAAUCUCUUUCACCGGCAGGGUUUCUCCUAUGACUACGUCUUCGACUGGAACAUGCUCAAAUUCGUGAGUCACCGGCAGGCCAAGGCGGGCUUGGGGGACUGGACAGGGCAGGCCCUGACUCAUAAGGCCAGAGUGACCUGGUGGGGGGCGGGGCUCCCGUUAAACGGGAGAUAUGAGCUGGACAGUGUGAGUGACGUCACAGGGGUCCCAGAACCCCUCGUCUCCAGCCACCUUGGCAUAGACAGGGCAUGUCGCCAUGGGGGGCAGGGCCCUGGGAAGGCACCACCUCCUGCCAGGUGGGAG